rnacentral:rRNA from 1 species
UACAGAGGUCUCAAGCGUUGUUCGGAUUCAUUGGGCGUAAAGGGUGCGUAGGCGGCGCGGUAAGUCGGGUGUGAAAUCUUGGAGCUUAACUCCGAAACUGCAUUCGAUACUGCCGUGCUUGAGGACUAGAGAGGAGACUGGAAUUUACGGUGUAGCGGUGAAAUGCGUAGAUAUCGUAAGGAAGACCAGUGGCGAAGGCGGGUCUCUGGACAGUUCCUGACGCUGAGGCACGAAGGCCAGGGGGAGCAAACGGGG